rnacentral:rRNA from 1 species
AUUGAACGCUGGCGGCAGGUCUAACACAUGCAAGUCGAACGAGUUGCGGACGGGUGAGUAAUGUCUGGGAAACUGCCUGUUGGAGGGGGAUAACUACUGGAAACUGUAGCUACUACCGCAUAUCAUCAUAUGUUCCCAGAUGGGAUUGGCUAGUUGGUGGGGUAACGGCUCACCAAGGCGACGAUCACUUACUUGUAUGAGAGGAUGACCAGCCACCCUGGAACUAAGACACGGGCCAGACUCCUACGGGAGGCAGCAGUGGGGAAUAUUGCACAAUGGGCGCAAGCCUGAUGCAGCCAUGCCGCGUGUAUGAAGAAGGCCUUCGGGUUGUAAAGUACUUUCAGCGGGGAGGCGUUACCCGCAGAAGAAGCACCGGCUAACUCCGUGCCAGCAGCCGCGGUAAUAC